GGUGACAGGUGCUGCAUGGCUGUCGUCAGCUCGUGUCGUGGGAUGUUGGGUUAAGUCCGCAACGAGCGCAACCCUUGUCAUUAGUUGCCUAUCAUUGGUUGGGCACUCUAAGUGAGACUGCCGGUGACAAACCGGAGGAAGGUGGGAUGACGUCAAAUCAUCAUGCCCCUUAUGACCUGGGCUACACACGUGCUACAAUGGUUGGUACAACGAGUUGCGAGUCGGUGACGGCGAGCUAAUCUCUUAAAGCCAAUCUCAGUUCGGAUUGUAGGCUGCAGCCUCGCCUACAUGAAGCCGGAAUCGCUAGUAAUCGCGGAUCAGCACGCCGCGGUGGAAUAACGUUCCCGGGCCCGUU
rnacentral:rRNA from 1 species